rnacentral:rRNA from 1 species
AUUGAACGCUGGCGGCAGGCCUAACACAUGCAAGUCGAACGAGCGGCGGACGGGUGAGUAAUGUCUGGGAAACUGCCCGAUAGAGGGGGAUAACUACUGGAAACGGUAGCUAAUACCGCAUACCAUCGGAUGUACCCAGAUGGGAUUAGCUAGUAGGUGGGGUAAAGGCUCACCUAGGCGACGAUCCCUAGCUGGUCUGAGAGGAUGACCAGACACACUGGAACUGAGACACGGCCCAGACUCCUACGGGAGGCAGCAGUGGGGAAUAUUGCACAAUGGGCGCAAGCCUGAUGCAGCCAUGCCGCGUGUAUGAAGAAGGCCUUAGGGUUGUAAAGUACUUUCAGCGGGGAGGCGUUACCCGCAGAAGAAGCACCGGCUAACUCCGUGCCAGCAGCCGCGGUAAUAC